CACGUAGGGGGCAAGCGUUGUCCGGAUUUAUUGGGCGUAAAGAGCUUGUAGGCGGUUUGUCGCGUCUGCUGUGAAAAUCCGGGGCUCAACUCCGGACUUGCAGUGGGUACGGGCAGACUAGAGUGUGGUAGGGGAGACGUGGAAUUCCGUGGUGUAGACGGUGAAAUGCGCAGAUAGUCAGGAAGAACACCCGUGGCUAAGGCGGCUCUCUAGUACGGUAACUGGACGCUGAGACGGCGAAAGCGUGGGGAGCGAACAG
rnacentral:rRNA from 1 species